UAAGCCCAAUUAGGUUGGUUCGUCGUCUGGCUGCCAUGGCGAGCUUUGUAUGUGGUUCAAAGUUGUAGAUGCACGCGACUCCUUAAGCUUCUCUUGCAGGUCUGAGCGAACCAACUUCAGGUUCCAUUUAUGUCCGAAAGUAGAUAAAGAUGGCAAACCAUGUGAGUCAGUCUUCUCAACCGUUGACCCCUGAGAGAGAGUUGGCAUUGUCCUUCAAAUUCAAGAGAGAGCUGUGCGGUAUUUCCUUUCCACACAUAUCACCAAUUUUUGCUGCUAUCCAUCUUCCCUCCUUACUUGUAACAAAAGUAUGUAGGGGAAGGACAAGGUUCCAAGCCAAAAGAUGGGGAUGAAGGACUUUUCAAUCCCAUCCUCAAUGUCAUUCUGCUCCUUACAUUUAGCUCAAGAACGCUUCCAUUACUUUCUUUACUAAUGGAAGAAGUAUUAUUUCCUGCUGCUA